AGCGCAGGCGGGAGAGCAAGUCUAUCUUAAAAGUGCGGGGCUCAACCCCGUGAGGGGAUAGAAACUGUUCUUCUUGAGUGCAGGAGAGGAAAGCGGAAUUCCUAGUGUAGCGGUGAAAUGCGUAGAUAUUAGGAGGAACACCAGUGGCGAAGGCGGCUUUCUGGACUGUAACUGACGCUGAGGCUCGAAAGCCAGGGGAGCGAACG
rnacentral:rRNA from 1 species